AUGCCGGGGGAAGCCCAGGCAGAGGGCUCCCAGCUCCCCGGGAUCAGCAGGACACCGGGCCGGGCAGUUUUAACCUCGCCUCUCAAGCAGCAUUUUCUCCUUGCCACGUCCUCAGCGAGACACCCGGCGAGGGCACCGGGAGCCCUCCCGGCCUGGGAGCCGGGACCGGCGUCUGCCGGGAUCGCCCUUCAGGGAUCAGGACGGGAAUUUUCUCCCUUGCGGAAGGAACCACAUCUAACCGGGUGCCGCUUGGAAACGCAUCGUGCCAGAAGCCACCGUGCUAAUUAUAGAUUAAUGGGAGGGGACACCGCGCAGCACCCUCAGCGCCGUGACUCGCUGGCAGCAGGCUUUGCUCGGCGAGGUGAGGUUAAAGGCACGGGAAGCGGGCUGGGAGCUCCGAGCUCUGCACCCCCGCCCGGCCCCGCAGAGGCUUAACAACCUGCGCACGUUCCCUUUAUUUGUGUUCGUACCGAGGAGCUGAGCCGAGCCUCGAGUCACCCGCGAAGGAAGAGCACAGUUAGUUGUCGUUGUAUUCGUUCCGAUUUAUAAAUAAUGUUUCUGGCUUCGCAUUGUUCAAAGUUUAAUUUAAAAACGUUUAAAAAUUAGCCCUCGAACUACGUGCUGGAUUGCAGCCAGACACGGUGCUGCUGCUCCUUGGGACUCCGGAAAUACCCGAAAGGACCGGGAGGGAAACCGAGAGCUCCCACCCGGUUAGCUGGGAUGGAAGCGCGGCGCUACGGCUUCAGCCUUUCACGUUUUAAUUGUUCUGAACCGGCGGGGUAUUUCACAGAACCAGCACGUCAAUGGUGGGAGCAAUCACACCUACUGGAGGAGGAUGUCGUGGUUUUUGAUUUCCUCUCUGCCUCGCACACAAACCGCCACAUUUCUGGAUCUGUCUGUGUACACGCGCAUAGAAAAUUGGGGGUGGCUGCAUAUCGCACGCACACGUACAUAAAUUUCUCUAAUAUGUUUCUACGUUCAGGGGCCGGAUCAGCAGCAAAUAAAUGUUCCCUGAUUUAGAGCA
rnacentral:lncRNA from 1 species